UAACUUUGAUUCAAAAUUGGUAUGUAGCUUGAUCUUCAAGUCUUCUAACAUCAUACCAAAUUUCACUUUGAUCCAACUAAUAGAUCUUUAGAUAUCAUAGAAAAUCUAUCUACCUCUAAUCUACCAACUUGUAAUAUCUUCUUAUACCAAAACUCAGAUAUCUUUCAAGUACAGUAUUAGAUUAUUACAAAUUUUUACAUAUAAUUAGCAUACCCUAUUAACUAAGUACUCUCAAAAUUUGAACUAUAGAUGUGAUAUCAAUUUUACGAAGUAGCCAAGAAUGCUAGCCCUAAUUAUAUUGCAUAAAUCUCAAAUUGCUAAUAUAAACCCUAAUUUUGAACAAUAAU
rnacentral:lncRNA from 1 species